GAGUGAACGCUGGCGGUAGGCCUAACACAUGCAAGUCGAACGGCAGCACAGUAAGAGCUUGCUCUUACGGGUGGCGAGUGGCGGACGGGUGAGGAAUACAUCGGAAUCUACUUUUUCGUGGGGGAUAACGUAGGGAAACUUACGCUAAUACCGCAUACGACCUACGGGUGAAAGCAGGGGAUCUUCGGCCCUUGCGCGAUUGAAUGAGCCGAUGUCGGAUUAGCUAGUUGGCGGGCUAAAGGCCCACCCAGGCGACGCGCCGUAGCUGGUCUGAGAGGAUGAUCAGCCAGACUGGAACUGAGACACGGUCCAGACUCCUACGGGAGGCAGCAGUGGGGAAUAUUGGACAAUGGGGGAAAGCCUGAUCCAGCCAUACCGCGUGGGUGAAGAAGGCCUUCGGGUUGUAAAGCCCUUUUGUUGGGAAAGAAAAGCAGCAGGUUAAUACCCCGCUGUUCUGACGGUACCCAAAGAAUAAGCACCGGCUAACUUCGUG
rnacentral:rRNA from 1 species